CAUCUAUAUCCGAAUUCUGGAAAAGGAUGAACCCUCAGUGGUAGCUGCCGCCACAGUAACUACUGCCAGUACAUCGGGGACGGGAUCCUCGGGGCCAAAGCCGCCCUCGUCAACGACGGAGAUAGCCGCGGUUGCCGAGGAGACAGGGGGGAGUGAAUUCAGCGACAGCUGUUUGCGCUCCUCCCCCUAACCGGACUGACCUUAUCCAGACCAACCUCCAGCACAGCCAAACAGCGUCGGCUUCACUACGCAGACUGCUGGAGACCAACCCGAAGACCAUUGCCGCGAUCCAGGAGCCGUGGAUCAGGAAUGGCAAGGUAUGCGGCCUGGGUAACACCGGUGGUAAACUUUUGCUGGAUACCUCAGGACCUUACAACCAUUAGGUUACCUAGGGACGCACAUCCAGACAUCGUCCUGGCGUCCGCCUACCUACCGGGUGACGAGGACGUGCCCACUCCAGAACUCGGCCUUCUGGCUGACUACUGUGAGAGGGAGAAACUGGAGCUUAUAAUCGCAGCAGACUCCAACGCGCACCACACGCUAUGGGGUAAUGCAAAUACCAACGCUCGAGGUGAGAAUAUGCUUAACUUCAUUCUUAGCAAUAAUCUUAUCUUAGCAAACAGCGGCUCUGAACCAAC